GACGAACGCUGGCGGCGUGCUUAACACAUGCAAGUCGAACGGAAAGGCCCUGCUUUUGUGGGGUGCUCGAGUGGCGAACGGGUGAGUAACACGUGGGUAACCUGCCCUUGACUUUGGGAUAACUUCAGGAAACUGGGGCUAAUACCGGAUAGGAGCUCCUGCUGCAUGGUGGGGGUUGGUAAGUUUCGGCGGUUGGGGAUGGACUCGCGGCUUAUCAGCUUGUUGGUGGGGUAGUGGCUUACCAAGGCUUUGACGGGUAGCCGGCCUGAGAGGGUGACCGGCCACAUUGGGACUGAGAUACGGCCCAGACUCCUACGGGAGGCAGCAGUGGGGAAUAUUGCACAAUGGGCGGAAGCCUGAUGCAGCAACGCCGCGUGCGGGAUGACGGCCUUCGGGUUGUAAACCGCUUUCGCCUGUGACGAAGCGUGAGUGACGGUAAUGGGUAAAGAAGCACCAGCUAACUACGUG
rnacentral:rRNA from 1 species